ACUCCUACGGGAGGCAGCAGUGGGGAAUAUUGGACAAUGGGCGAAAGCCUGAUCCAGCAAUGCCGCGUGAGUGAUGAAGGCCUUAGGGUUGUAAAGCUCUUUUACCCGGGAUGAUAAUGACAGUACCGGGAGAAUAAGCUCCGGCUAACUCCGUGCCAGCAGCCGCGGUAAUA
rnacentral:rRNA from 1 species